GACGAACGCUGGCGGCGUGCCUAACACAUGCAAGUCGAACGGAAAACAUAGCAAUAUGUUUUUAGUGGCGAACGGGUGAGUAACGCGUAGACAACCAACCUUUUUGUGGGGGACAACACUUCGAAAGGAGUGCUAAUACCGCAUACGCUCCAGAUGCCGCCUGGUGUUUGGGGGAAAGGAGCUUUACGGCUUCGCAAAAAGACGGGUCUGCGUCUGAUUAGCUAGUUGGAGGGGUAACGGCCCACCAAGGCGACGAUCAGUAGCCGGUCUGGGAGGAUGGACGGCCACACUGGGACUGAGACACGGCCCAGACUCCUACGGGAGGCAGCAGUGGGGAAUCUUCCGCAAUGGACGAAAGUCUGACGGAGCGACGCCGCGUGAGUGAUGAAGGCCCUUGGGUCGUAAAGCUCUGUCAUCAGGGACGAACGGUCACGUCAGGAAAUGGGCGUGAAUUGACGGUACCUGAGAAGGAAGCCACGGCUAACUACGUGCCAGCCGCCGCGGUA
rnacentral:rRNA from 1 species